rnacentral:miRNA from 1 species
UAUGUGUAUGUCUAUAGGUAUGAAUGUAUGUACAUAUAGAUGCAUAUAUAUUAUACAUACACGUACAUAUAAGAGACAUA